AUGGAUCAGGUCAUGCAGUUUGUGGAGCCAAGUCGGCAGUUCGUGAAGGACUCCAUCUGGCUGGUGAAGAGAUGCACCAAGCUGGACAGGAAAGAAUUCCAGAAGAUUGCCAUGGCAACAGCAAUAGGAUUUGCUAUCAUGGGCUUCAUCAGCUUCUUUGUGAAGUUGAUCCACAUCCCCAUUAACAACAUCAUUGUGGGUGGCUGACCACUUUGGAAGAGUGUUUUUCUUCUUGACACUGUAGGGGUGGAGAAGCUCAUGAAGUAAAAGUUUGUCUCUGUGCUUUGUGCUUUUGGUUUUUUCUUCCCCCUUUAAAAUGUUUUCUAUUUGUAAGUUAAAAUAAUUUCAAAUA